CAGGAAAGAAACAAAUGAUUAGAGGGAAAAGACAAUGCAAAAGAUGUGGAGAGUUGGGGCAUGGUGAAACCAGCUACAAAUGCUCUCUUAAUGGAACAAAGAAAAGGAAGAGAAAACCAAGAAAAAAUGCUACAAAAAGUUCUUCCAAAAGUUCUACUAAGAACAAAGCCAAGAAAGCAACCAAGACAAAUGAAGAAGCUUCCACCAGUUCUAUACCAACCCUGGAAACAAUAAUACAAAACAGCCCUGGUAGAGUUACUAGAAGCCGACUUGCUAUGCUGCAAAGAGGAGAAGGCACUAGUACCCAGCCCACAGUGGCAGCCUCACCCACCAAGCAAAAGACUGCAGCCAACAAAAGUCCUGCAAGGAAGCUGGCACCUAAGAGACUGAAGAUUAAUUGAGCUGUCAACUCCAAGUCUUAGCAAUUCAUGUACCUGUGAACUUAGUGUUUGUGAUCUAAAUGUACCUGUCAACUAAGUAUCUGUGAGCUACUUGUGAACUCAGUAUUUGUGAGCUAGCUACUUGUGAACUCAGUAUUUGUGAGCUAUUUGUGAACUCAGUA